rnacentral:tRNA from 2 species
GUAGUCGUGGCCGAGUGGUUAAGGCGAUGGACUUGAAAUCCAUUGGUGUCUCCCUGCGCAGGUACGAAUCCUGCUGACUACG